UACGUAGGGUGCAAGGCGUUGUCCGGAAUUAUUGGGCGUAAAGGGCGCGUAGGCGGCGGGGUAAGUCGGGUGUGAAAUCUCAGGGCUCAACCCUGAAACUGCACUUGAUACUGCUCUGCUUGAGGACUGGAGAGGAGACUGGAAUUCACGGUGUAGCAGUGAAAUGCGUAGAGAUCGUGAGGAAGACCAGUGGCGAAGGCGGGUCUCUGGACAGUUCCUGGACGC
rnacentral:rRNA from 1 species